AGGCCCUUCCUGUUGAGUUGUCAUCUGAACAAAUCAGAGUGGUGGUUGAGGACACCAGAUGUAUUAUUUCCUGCCACAGCAAAUUGGAGGGCUCGCACUGUUCCACCGCCAUCAACUUAGGAAGCAAUUGAAUUUGUUGAUUAUCUUUGCAAGAGGGAGAAGCUUAGCAUCAAUGAAGACAUUGGUAUUUGAAUGUCAUCAAAUUGGAAUCAUACAGAUUUCAGAUUGGCUUCUUUCACUAAGCAAUAUGCAUGAUAGAGGACUUCAUCAACAAGGUUCUUUCAUCUUCCUUAGUUGUUUGGAUCCUUAAGCCUGCCUUGAAAGAAGAGGGAGAAGGCUUCAGGGGAAAUGCUCCCCGCGCUGACCCACAGGAUGGCUUCCUUCAACAAAUGCAGCCACCUUUGAUUGGCUGCCUGCUACAAGAGAAACAUCAGGAGGUACGUAUUGCCAUGGGGGGAACUGAAGAUGGAGGACCCCUCAUUUGUGGAAUUGGGAACGGGCUUUGGGUCACAUGAGGCUCAUCCCUGAUGAGCUAGAACGUGGAAGUUACCUGAAUCCAGAAACCGAUAUUAGGCUCUGUAAUGGACAUGCAGAGGAAGAAGGACCUGUUGCCACGUCUACAGAGGGGUCAGGAAAGACACACUUGGAAUGACCCUAAGAAACCAUGGGCAAGUCUCCAUUUUUUUCCCUCAG
rnacentral:lncRNA from 1 species